rnacentral:rRNA from 1 species
UGACGAGUGGCGGACGGGUGAGUAAUGCUUGGGGAUCUGGCUUAUGGAGGGGGAUAACGACGGGAAACUGUCGCUAAUACCGCGUAAUGUCUAAGGACUAGAGGGUGGGACUUUCGGGCCACCUGCCAUAAGAUGAGCCCAAGUGGGAUUAGGUAGUUGGUGGGGUAAAGGCCUACCAAGCCGACGAUCUCUAGCUGGUCUGAGAGGAUGACCAGCCACACUGGAACUGAGACACGGUCCAGACUCCUACGGGAGGCAGCAGUGGGGAAUAUUGCACAAUGGGGGGAACCCUGAUGCAGCCAUGCCGCGUGGAUGAAGAAGGCCUUCGGGUUGUAAAGUUCCUUCGGUGAUGAGGAAGGGUGAUGUUUUAAUAGAGCAUUACAUUGACGUUAGUCACAGAAGAAGCACCGGCUAACUCCGUGCCAGCAGCCGCGGUAAUACGGAGGGUGCGAGCGUUAAUCGGAAUGACUGGGCGUAAAGGGCACGCAGGCGGUGACUUAAGUGAGAUGUGAAAGCCCCGAGCUUAACUUGGGAAUUGCAUUUCAUACUGGGUGGCUAGAGUAUUUUAGGGAGGGGUAGAAUUCCACGUGUAGCGGUGAAAUGCGUAGAGAUGU